rfam:Candidatus Synechococcus spongiarum SP3 contig-70_667, whole genome shotgun sequence.
GGGCAUGUAGCUCAGUUGGAUAGAGCGUCAGAUUCCGGUUCUGAAAGCCGAGGGUUCGAAUCCUUCCAUGCCCG